rnacentral:rRNA from 1 species
GCAUAUCAAUAAGCGGAGGAAAAGAAACCAACCGGGAUUGCCUCAGUAACGGCGAGUGAAGCGGCAAGAGCUCAAAUUUGAAAGCUGGCUCCUUCGGGGUCCGCAUUGUAAUUUGCAGAGGAUGCUUCGGGUGCGGCCCCUGUCUAAGUGCCCUGGAACGGGCCGUCAGAGAGGGUGAGAAUCCCGUCUGGGAUGGGGUGUCCGCGCCCGUGUGAAGCUCCUUCGACGAGUCGAGUUGUUUGGGAAUGCAGCUCUAAAUGGGUGGUAAAUUUCAUCUAAAGCUAAAUACUGGCCGGAGACCGAUAGCGCACAAGUAGAGUGAUCGAAAGAUGAAAAGCACUUUGAAAAGAGAGUUAAAAAGCACGUGAAAUUGUUGAAAGGGAAGCGCUUGCGACCAGACUCGCCUCCAGGGUUCAGCCGGCAUUCGUGCCGGUGUACUUCCCUGGGGGCGGGCCAGCGUCGGUUUGGGCGGCCGGUCAAAGGCUCCCGGAAUGUAGUGCCCUCCGGGGCACCUUAUAGCCGGGAGUGCAAUGCGGCCAGCCUGGACCGAGGAACGCGCUUCGGCACGGACGCUGGCAUAAUGGUCGUAAACGACCCGUCUUGAAACACGGACCAAGGAGUCUAACAUCUACGCGAGUGUUCGGGUGUCAAACCCGUACGCGCAGUGAAAGCGAACGGAGGUGGGAGCCCCCUCGUGGGGCGCACCAUCGACCGAUCCUGAUGUCUUCGGAUGGAUUUGAGUAAGAGCGUAAAUGUGGGGACCCGAAAGAUGGUGAACUAUGCCUGAAUAGGGCGAAGCCAGAGGAAACUCUGGUGGAGGCUCGCAGCGGUUCUGACGUGCAAAUCGAUCGUCAAAUUGGGUAUAGGGGCGAAAGACUAAUCAAACCAUCUAGUAGCUGG